rnacentral:lncRNA from 1 species
AAACAAAAACGUCACUCAUUUGAGGAAUAAUCUGUACACCAGAAAUCUAACUAAAUCCUUGUUUUCCUUAAUCUUUUUGUAACAGAUUAUCUUGUUGAACAAAGGCACUCACACUGGAGUUGAGUCGGUUUAGUCCACGCGCCUCUUGUGUAGCCGCUCACGAGCCAUGAUGACCUCCAAUCAAGGCGAUGAAAACCACCUGACGGGCGUCCGAAUGAAACGAUAAGUGAAAUAAAUGUGAAAGUAUCCUCAGCAUAAACGGUGUUCAUGUUGACAGACGCCAGCUGGGUUUUGAAGCGGAAAUGCGAGACUUUCCGGAGCCUCCAUAAGACUGAGCUCCCCUGCGCGCGGCACACAGUGAGGAAGAGAGAGGGGAGGUGCGCGCGAGGAGCAGAGCCCAAAAGGAAAUUAAUUCUGUUGUCAAGAGCCGACUCCCUCACCAUUCAUCAUGACAUCUGUUUCUUGAAGGGAGUAAACAGAAGAAGAAAACAUUGAGAAAUGAAAGGACAUGUUGAGGGCUGCCAUGAUGUUCAUCUUUGGAGCUCCCACCGGUUGCAACUUUAAAGAGGUGAAAUGGUUCAUUUCUGACAAGUGAAAGUCUGCUCUGGGAAACUGACGCUGCUCUAUGAAGAUAAAGUCUCAUUUGAAUAAAGUACCUCCCCUUUAGAGCAUAUCCAUAUGCAUGAGACUCCAAGUCAAAUUGCUGUUCAUUCCUGUUAAAUUGAUUGUGAUUUAUUCGCAUCUCACAGAGAAGCACAUGCUGGGUGUGUGGAUUGAAUAUAUUUCCCCCACAGAGUCACCUAAAUCAGUUUAAAUUAAAGAUGUACACAUAUUCAAACACACAAUUAAAGGAUGUUAUCACUCUGACAUGUGGGUCUGUCGGUCACUUUAAUUCACGCUUAGAUAUCCCAACUACUGUUGAAUGGAUUUAAUUGCUCCACGCAGUCAUGUCCAGGAUGAAUUGCAACAACACUGCUGAACUUUUCGUUUAGCGGCAUCAUUAGGUCAAAUGUGCGUUUUGUAUUUG